GUGGUCCACACUCUCAUCGUGGUUCUCUCGGGACAUCUUUGCCCCUCGAGAUUGUUGUCUGUUGUGCCUCCACGACUUUCCGCCACUCCACCAGUUCUUUGGAUCCGACAGCUCCAGCCUGACGGAGAAACUCUCGCAGUGUUGCUCCAGCCUGGGCCUCUUGAACUUGAAAAUGCUGGCAUGAGGACUGACACCUGAGCACCCGCACAGUGCGACUCAAGAAGAGUCAGUAAGCAGCGGUUACGUUGGCCGACUUUACAGCUAACACCAUGAGGCCCCACGCAGAAAUGUGAUGAUGCUCAGGUUCAUUGGUGCUGACUGAGAUGCAGAAAGAGAGAGAGAGAGAGAAUCACCACACCUCUGACACCUGUGUGCUAAAAGUUGUCUGGAUCAACUGGCUUGGUAAUGAGUCUCUUUUACUUGCUUGCUUGCUUGUUUGUUUAUUUAUUUAUUUAGGCCUAUUUUAGACCAGUGCUCUGAUUUAUUUAUUUUAUUUUCAUCAGCCAGUCAAGGACCUUGACAUAAGGGAUUCUCAUUAACAUCAACAACUUGGCAAUAUAAUGACAGUUCCCAUUUUGACAAGUGUAAGGGCUUGUUUAUACACCAAGGAAUAAUGAUAACUAGGCUUUAAAGCUUUAAUAAUGGUUGCUAUUCUAUGAGAAUAGAUAACAUUUAUAACAAUAACGACAAAGAGGAAAAAUAUCGUUUGAACGACAAAAACAUUGACUGGCAAUCAGAAUCCACAUGACUUUAAAGAGCUGGCAUCGCAUGCUUAUAAUAAACAGAACGUUAUGCUGUGUUGGUAGCUAGUUAUAGCAAAGACUAUAAAAUACCCUUAAAGGGACUUUGGUGAUAGUCAUCGUCAUUGCUGAGUUUAAUGCAUUGCUAAAUAAUUACUAUAAUUUAAUUGAAAACGUAAAGUAAGGGAUUACUCUUAAUUGGUCUGUAAUUUAGUUACAGUCAGGCUACUUCUGAUGUAAUAUACAUAUAUGUAAACAAUUCUCUAUAAAACAAUAGUGGAUUUAAUAUCAAAAUUUUACAUGUAAUGAUAAAAAGUUACCUUAUCAUUUCAAAUACUUUGGUCAGUUAAAGAAUAAUUAAUUUAGUUUUAUAUUAUUUAUUUCAAAGAAUCAAAAGAGCAGUUUCAUGUCUAUCAUUGGUCAAGAUUAGGAUUUAGUAAUAGGCAAUGCAAUACAUUUUAGAGAAAGUAAUUAGUACAGUAAUCUAAUUACACUUUUAAGGAUGAAAUUAGUAGCUAGUGAUUGGUUCGAACAGAACUUAACUUAUAUGCAAGGCUGAUACAUGCUAAUAAUGACACCAAAAAAAGUUUGAAUACCAAAACGUUUCAUUAGACUUGCAACUUAUGUCAGCAACAAAAUAUACAGAAAGUGUUUUUUCCUCCCUUAAGGGAUUCUUAAUUACAAUUAUAUGGUUAGAUGUAUUUUAUGAUUUUAUGUAGAAUUAUAUUUUUCCAUCUUUUAGCAAUUCUGUGAGACAUAGCCUAUAUUAUUGGAUACUAAUUGUAACUUGCUUAGUAGCUCUGUCUUUUUCAUUAAUGAUGUUUACAAUACUAUUACUUUCCAACAUUAAAAAUAACUGGAUAUAAACAGACGUGAUAAAUCACUAAGCCACUUCCUAGCAAUCAGUAACAGCAGACUGAGUCUUGGAGAUGGACCCGAUAAACAGGCAUAUCCCUCGAGCCAGGGCAGAAAAGGCCAGGGAUUCCCAUGAGGGGAAAAUGCUGACAGAAAGCAAUAUGCCACCUUAAUAAAUGGCACCGGUGCUGGCCAUGUGACUGAAGGAUGGCCCAAUGGGAUGAGAUAUCAUUCAUUCACACCCAAACGUCAGCAUGGAAUUCCUGUAAUGUUCAGAUGCCGUCAGGCUCCCAGAGGAAUCUGGGCUCACGUUCCACCUCGUGUGUGACGGUGUAAUGGUACAUGCAUGGAAUUUAACAUGUUUUCAGCUAUGACAACCCUUAGGCCCUCUAAUGUCAAAGAUCUUAAUAUGGAGCUGUGGCGCUGAUAAUCUUCAAUGAAAGUUUCUUUCUGCUUCUGUGCAGUUGUGUAUAUAAUAUUAUAAGAGUCUUUCCCGUGGCUAAAUAAAGCUCUGAUGAGUUUA